rnacentral:rRNA from 1 species
CUACGGGGGGCUGCAGUGAGGAAUAUUGCACAAUGGGGGGAACCCUGAUGCAGCAACGCCGCGUGGAGGAUGACGCAUUUCGGUGUGUAAACUCCUUUUAUAUGUCAAGAAAAUGACGGUAGCAUAUGAAUAAGCACCCGCUAACUCCGUGCCAGCAGCCGCGGUAAUACGGAGGGUGCAAGCGUUACUGGGAAUCACUGGGCGUAAAGGACGCGUAGGCGGGUUGGAAAGUCAGGUGUGAAAUCCUACAGCUUAACUGUAGAACUGCACUUGAAACUUCUAAUCUAGAGUAUGGGAGGGGGAGAUGGAAUUAGUGGUGUAGGGGUAAAAUCCGUAGAUAUCACUAGGAAUACCUAAAGCGAAGGCGAUCUCCUGGAACAUUACUGACGCUAAGGCGUGAAAGCGUGGGGAGCAAACAGGAUUAGAUACCCUAGUAGUC